ensembl:lncRNA
AUUUAUUUAUUAUCUAUGAGUACACUGUAGCUGUCUUCAGACACACCAGAAGAGGGCAUCAGAUCCCAUUACAGAUGGUUGUGAGCCACCAUGUGGUUGCUGGGAAUUGAACUCAGGUCCUCUGGAAGAGCAGUCGGUGCCCUUAACCACUGAGCCAUCUCUCCAGCCCUGUUAAUAGAUAUUUUUUAAAGUUUUGCUUAGAUCUUAAUUUUUUGUCUGUGCACAUGUGUGUAUUGUUCCAUGGCACACACGCAUAGAUCAGGGGACAGCUUUUGAGAGUCAGUUUUCUCCUCCCAGCAUGUGGUCUUGGAGAUUGACUCAGAUCAUCAGGCCUGACAACAGUCUAAGCAGCUUAGCCAUCUUGACGUCUCUGCCUCAGACUGUUCAUGGGAGAGAUUUGGGCUCCAUCUGCAUACAUCACCCCAGGAUGAAGGGAAUACCCUGGAGACUGUGAGGUAUUAGAGCAGUAGUGUCUGUCUCAUGGUGAUUUGUGUCCUGUUGUUCCAGCAUUCUGAAGAUUAAGACUGAAUUGCUGUGAGUUGAAAGCUACCCUGGGGUUUCAGAGUGAGUCCUGGGACAGCCAGGACUCUACGGUGAAAAUGUUAAGGGAAGAAAACGCGUUUGUCUUUUUGAGAGAGGGCAAUAGGAUCCGUAGUGAAAGACUAGCAUUCAUACCAGUAGUAGGAGCUCUGAGAACUAGACAGCCAACAUGGUCUAAGACUGGGCCCGUACUCACUGUUUUACAGAAUAAACGGAAGGUGGCAACAGAAUGCUUCAGUCUAACCCGUGCUAGGACUGUGUGUAUGCCAGCGACCUGAGAAGCUUCUUAGUUUGCUUUUGGGGGACAGGGUGUCCCUUCGAUAUCCUAGGUGGCCUGGAGCUGUGUAUGUAGGCCAGACUUGUCUCAAACUUGAGGUAAUUCUGUGGCUCUCCCUCCUCAGAACACUAUGAAGGAUAACCACCUCAUUCCCUUAGUAGGGGUAGACGUGAAGGCCACUAUGUGCAUGUAGAGGUCAAAACUUGGGAGAAUUGGUUCUCUCCUAUUUUGGGCCAGGGGAUAGAACUCAGGUUGAUGAUAGUUUUUCCCCCAAUGAACUAAGUCAAUUCAAGACGAAUUAAAAAAAUAAAAAAGGCAUGUUUAUUUGGGAAUGGGCUCCCAGGCGAGACCACCAGCCUCAGAGUACCGGAAUAAAUCAGGGGCAGACUAUGGCUGGUAAGUUUUCAAUAAGAGUGUAGGCAAUAAAAAUGAUGUGUCUACCACAGGCUGGGCUGGGGUCAUCAAGGGAGAGGGAGAGAUUUGGGUAGCUGGUGACUUCAGAUGAGGUGGAUUAGGACAGUCAAGAAUUCGGGACUGGGUUUUUUGGCGCCUUUUUCUGUUCUGAGGCUUUCUAAGUGGGCGGGGUUGGAGGGAGAGAGAGAGAAAAUUGGAAUUUACUGGGGGUAGGGGAGCUGGGGACUCCAACCAAACAGGUGACAAACAGUAUUGCCAGUUGUUCUGGCCCCAAAUGUAUCUUUUAAUAAUUCUCUCACCAAAUUUGAACCUGCUCUAAUAGAAAUCUUGGUGUCUGACUUCCUGGAUGCUCUACUUGGGAAUGGAGGGAGCCCUUUUUUUCCGUUGUUUGCGUCUCUGACUGACCCCUUCUGAGUUUCAGUUCUGCAAUACAUAGCAUUUAGUCUUCUAUUUCCCAUUCCUGGCUUCCCUUUCUCACACCCACCCGGGGUCAGCCUCUCCCAGCAUCCCCAUCUUCCCAUCCCGUUCGCGCAGUCUUUCCCUCUCUUUCGGCCUCGCUUUGCUCUAAUCCUCGCGUUCCCCUCUCUCCAGAAGCGUUCCUUUCAUUUCCUUGCUGGAG